UACGUAGGGAUCAAGCGUUGUUCGGAUUUACUGGGCGUAAAGGGCGCGUAGGCGGCGCGACAAGUCACUUGUGAAAUCUCUGGGCUUAACUCAGAACGGCCAAGUGAAACUGUUGUGCUAGAGUGCAGAAGGGGCAAUCGGAAUUCUCGGUGUAGCGGUGAAAUGCGUAGAUAUCGAGAGGAACACCAGAGGUGAAGACGGGUUGCUGGGCUGACACUGACGCUGAGGCGCGAAAGCCAGGGGAGCAAACGGG
rnacentral:rRNA from 1 species